rnacentral:rRNA from 1 species
GAUGAACGCUGGCGGCGUGCCUAAUACAUGCAAGUCGAGCGACCGGACGAGAAGCUUGCUUCUCUGAUGUUAGCGGCGGACGGGUGAGUAACACGUGGAUAACCUACCUAUAAGACUGGGAUAACUUCGGGAAACCGGAGCUAAUACCGGAUAAUAUUUUGAACCGCAUGGUUCAAAAGUGAAAGACGGUCUUGCUGUCACUUAUAGAUGGAUCCGCGCUGCAUUAGCUAGUUGGUAAGGUAACGGCUUACCAAGGCAACGAUGCAUAGCCGACCUGAGAGGGUGAUCGGCCACCAUGGAACUGAGACACGGUCCAGACUCCUACGGGAGGCAGCAGUAGGGAAUCUUCCGCAAUGGGCGAAAGCCUGACGGAGCAACGCCGCGUGAGUGAUGAAGGUCUUCGGAUCGUAAAACUCUGUUAUUAGGGAAGAACAUAUGUGUAAGUAACUGUGCACAUCUUGACGGUACCUAAUCAGAAAGCCACGGCUAACUACGUG